UACGAAGGGGGCUAGCGUUGCUCGGAAUUACUGGGCGUAAAGCGCACGUAGGCGGAUUUUUAAGUCGGGGGUGAAAUCCUGGAGCUCAACUCCAGAACUGCCUUCGAUACUGGCGAUCUCGAGUUCGGGAGAGGUGAGUGGAACUGCGAGUGUAGAGGUGAAAUUCGUAGAUAUUCGCAAGAACACCAGUGGCGAAGGCGGCUCACUGGCCCGAUACUGACGCUGAGGUGCGAAAGCGUGGGGAGCAAACAGG
rnacentral:rRNA from 1 species